AACGAACGCUGGCGGCGUGCUUAACGCAUGCAAGUCGAACGAGAACGCACCUUCGGGUGUUAGUAGAGUGGCGCACGGGUGAGUAACACGUGGGUGACCUGCCCUUUGGCUUGGGAUAACUCGAGGAAACUCGAGCUAAUACCAAAUAAGACCACAUCUCUUGUGAUGUGGGAAAAGCUAGGGACCUUUUCGGAGGCCUGGCACCGAAGGAUGGGCCCGCGGUCCAUCAGGUAGUUGGUGGGGUAAUGGCCUACCAAGCCUAAGACGGAUAGCUGGUCUGAGAGGAUGAUCAGCCACACUGGAACUGAGACACGGUCCAG
rnacentral:rRNA from 1 species